UACUGUCAUCACCCGGAUUUUGAGAAAGACAAAUAACUUCUCUGCAAGAUUUGAUAAUUGAAGCAAUUCCUGAAUUGAUAGCUCUAAAGGCACAUGCUGUAUUUGCCUCCUUUAACCCAUUUUUCAACCUGUUUGUUUUUUAAAGGUUUCUUUAAGGGUUGAUAUAUAUCAGUGUAUGGGGCAAUUUUAAUCAGCUAAGGCAAUAACGUUAUGCAUUAAUAUUUCCCAGGCUUCCAUGAAGCUGUUGAGGUCCUAGGCAAUUGAUACAGCAGUUGUGAUAAAUAAAAACGUUUCACCUAAGUCUUCUUUUCUUCAUAACAUAGAUACUGACAUGAUAGGAAGUUUUCAGCUUAGGGAAAGGUAACUAAAUUUAGAUUUUUAGAACAUGGACUCAAAAGUGUCCAAAACAAAUUGGCUGACACCUUAAACUGGUAACCUGCUUUUCCUCUGUUUUAUCCUUCAGGAUUGUUCCACUAAAGUUUAUUUUUCAAAAAAUUUACUUCACAUUAUUGUAUGUUAAGCGAUCACUUGUUAGUGUUCCAGAUGUAUCUUAGCAAAAGUAAUAAAUGCCCUAACUUACAUGGUUUUUGAAGCCUAUACAUUUGAUAUUGUUUGGCCCUUAAGCUUUUACAUCUCUUAGCAUGGAGGAUGAAGAAAGCUGUACAUUGUUGCUUGAGAAUCUGUACAUUUAGACCAGAUUUGUAUUUGUACUGUUAAUAUGGCAAAUGAGUGAAAAAAUGUUAACACACUAUUGGAUUUUUCAUUUCUUUUCUUUUUUUAUUCAGUUUAUACAAAGGGCUGAAAACCUCAAUUUAUGUUCCUGACAGUGGGGAUUUUUUUUAAAUGUCUGCAUUCUUUCUAAUAAACUGUUGGAAGACUUAAAAAAAAGAAAGAGGCAGGGCCGCCAUGUUGCAGCAGGACAGUAAUGAUGACACUGAUGAUGUUUCACUGUUUGAUGCAGAAGAGGAGACAACUAACAGACCAAAAAAAUCCAAAAUCAGACAUCCAGUGGCAUCAUUUUUCCACUUGUUCUUUCGCGUCAGUGCCAUCAUUGUCUCUUUUCUGUGAACUGCUCAGCAGCAGCUUUAUUGCCUGUAUGGUAACAAUUAUCUUGCUGCUGUCAUGUGACUUUUGGGCAGUGAAGGAGUCUUCUCAAGAGAAUAAAACUGCUUCGGAGGCUGAAUCAAGAAUCUUUUGGUUAGGACUUAUUGCCUGUCCAGUGCUGUGGGUGAUAUUUGCCUUUAGUGCCCUCUUCUUCAGAGUAAAGUGGUUGGCGGUAGUUCUCAUGGGUGUGGUGCUACAAGGUGCCAACCUGUCUGGAUACAUCAGGUGCAAAGUGGGCAACAGGAAGAACUUCACAUGGCCACCUUGUAUCUAGGAAAGCAGUUUAAGACAAAACACCGGAGAUGGUCAGACUCCCUGAAUAAAGAGUGAAAGCUUAUAAAUUUUGUUACAUUGGGGAACAACCGAAGAGAUUCUUGUCUUUGAACCUCUUAGAACUCAGUCCAUAUUGCAACCAGGAGUGUGGGGUUUGCUUUUCACUUGACUAUUUUAUUUAAAAAAAGGAAAAGUAAUUUUCAUAUUGCUUUCAUUUUCUUUGUAGGAGUUGGGGCUAGAAAGUAUGCUGUCACUAGAAACAUUGUCAGUUUGUUUUAUGUUGUACAAUGUGUAUGGUUAUGUGGUAUCAGUAUACCCCAAAUCAGUGAGAGUGUUGGUGUUCGUUCAUAUACAUGACAGAGACCUAUGCAUUUUGAUCCAUAGAACAUAAGAGGAUAUUCUUAGUUUAUCUUGAAGCUCUGUCGUGUGUUUACAUAUUAUUUGUAUAAAUCAUUUUCAGAAGUAAGUUUUGCUUCCAGGUAAGAAUGAGCACUUUGGCUUAUGUUUG